AUUGAACGCUGGCGGCAGGCCUGACACAUGCAAGUCGAACGGUAGCACAGAGAGCUUGCUCUCGGGUGACGAGCGGCGGACGGGUGAGUAACGUCUGGGAAACUGCCCGAUGGAGGGGGAUAACUACUGGAAACGGUAGCUAAUACCGCAUAACGUCGCAAGACCAAAGUGGGGGACCUUCGGGCCUCACACCAUCGGAUGUGCCCAGAUGGGAUUAGCUAGUAGGUGGGGUAAUGGCUCACCUAGGCGACGAUCCCUAGCUGGUCUGAGAGGAUGACCAGCCACACAGGAGCUGGAACACGGUCCAGACUCGUACGGGAGGCAGCAGUGGGGAAUAUUGCACAAUGGGCGCAAGCCUGAUGCAGCCAUGCCGCGUGUAUGAAGAAGGCCUUCGGGUUGUAAAGUACUUUCAGCGGGGAGGAAGGCGGUGAAGUUAAUAGCUUCACCGAUUGACGUUACCCGCAGAAGAAGCACCGGCUAACUCCGUGCCAGCCGCCGCCGUAA
rnacentral:rRNA from 1 species